AUACGAAGGGGGCUAGCGUUGUUCGGAAUUACUGGGCGUAAAGCGCGCGUAGGCGGAUUGGUCAGUCAGGGGUGAAAUCCCAGGGCUUAACCCUGGAACUGCCUCUAAUACUGCCAGUCUUGAGUUCGGGAGAGGUGAGUGGAAUUCCUAGUGUAGAGGUGAAAUUCGUAGAUAUUAGGAAGAACACCAGUGGCGAAGGCGGCUCACUGGCCCGAUACUGACGCUGAGGCGCGAAAGCGUGGGGAGCAAACAGGAUUAGAAACCCCAGUAGUCC
rnacentral:rRNA from 1 species